GUUCACUCUGCGUGCGUGUCUACCUGCUAGAUGUAUCGUAUAAUAAUCGAGUAUAACGAUCAUGUAUCACUAACGUGCAUCGGGGCGCUCGUCGGCGGCUCCAGAGCUUUGUCUGCAGAUAGUCAAAGAUAGGAACGUACGGGGACCUGAGGAUGUAACGCCGGAUGCACCAGCGUCGCGUGUUGCAGCGUGCCGGGUAAUUCGCCAGCGGUCGAGUAUGCCAGUGGAUGGUGCCACAAUUCAGGACCACCAGGGAAGAAUGGGCUCCCUAGCUGCAACGUACGCUUCAGUAUUGACAAUGCCGACGACAAUCGUUGUGACGAAAACGCG
rnacentral:misc_RNA from 1 species